rnacentral:lncRNA from 1 species
UUCAAGAAGAUGGAUAAGUGAUUUAGUUCUUAAAAAUGGUUAAUUAUAGAAUUAUGGUUAAAAUCUGGAGAAUCAGGGAAAAAUAUAUAGGAGUUGUAGAAGUUAAUUAAGGUGCCAUUGCUGUGAUAGUUGUGAGCGGGGAUAAGCUUGGUGCUACCUCUUUUCUUUUGUUUGUUAUUUUCUUUGAAUAAGAGGAUUGAGAGUUUCUGAAUAUUGUGAAGUGAAUUAUGGAAUGGAAAUG